UACGGGGGGGGCAAGCGUUGUUCGGAAUUACGGGGCGUAAAGGGCUCGUAGGCGGCCAACUAAGUCGGACGUGAAAUCCCUCGGCUUAACCGGGGAACUGCGUCCGAUACUGGAUGGCUUGAGUUCGGGAGAGGGAUGCGGAAUUCCAGGUGUAGCGGUGAAAUGCGUAGAUAUCUGGAGGAACACCGGUGCCGAAGGCGGCAUCCUGGACCGAUACUGACGCUGAUGAGCGAAAGCCAGGGGAGCAAACGGG
rnacentral:rRNA from 1 species